CAGCAGCCGCGGGAAUACGUAGGUGGCAAGCGUUGUCCGGAAUUAUUGGGCGUAAAGGGCUCGCAGGCGGUUUCUUAAGUCUGAUGUGAAAGCCCCCGGCUCAACCCUGGACAGGCGGUGGAAACUACCAAGCUGGAGUACGGUAGGGGCAGAGGGAAUUUCCAGUGGAGCGGUGAAAUGCGUUGAGAUCGAAGAGAACACCAACAGCGAAAGCACUCUGCUGGGACGACACUGACACUAAGAGACGAAAGCUAGGGGAGCAAAUGGGAUUAGAGACCCCGGUAGUCCCUGUCUCUUAUAA
rnacentral:rRNA from 1 species